rnacentral:lncRNA from 1 species
UUCUUAGGCUUUUUGUCUUUCUUGUGCUUCUUUGCAGACUUCUUUUUCUUCCAAGUAGACUUUCUCUUGGAACCAGAAGUCAGCUCAGCAGCCAGAACAGAGCCCCUUGAACCUUUCAAGGCUCCUUCAGCAGUUACCAACAUGUUCAACAACUCGGUCUUCGUGCAUUCAAUUUUAUUCAUAUGGUAGUUUACUAUAAACUGACCAAAUGAAUCAGAAAGGAAUUGCAGGAUCAGAUCUAUCUGCAGUUCUUUAUGCAUGGACAUACUGAGCUUCUCAAGCUCCUCGAGGUCCUUGAUCAUAGUCAGACAAUGAUCAUGGACAGACUGCCCCUCGCGCAUCUUUGCCUUGAAGAGCCUCUUGGACACUUCAAAG